rnacentral:rRNA from 1 species
UUAUUGGAGAGUUUGAUCCUGGCUCAGGAUGAACGCUGGCGGCGUGCCUAAUACAUGCAAGUCGAGCGAAUC